rnacentral:rRNA from 1 species
GACAGAGAAUGCAAACGUCGUUCAGAAUUACUGGGCGUAAAGCGCGUGUAGGCGGCCCUGCAAGUCGGGUGUGAAAUCCCAUGGCUCAACCAUGGAAAUGCAUUCGAAACUGCAAAACUAGAGUCCUGGAAAGGAAGAUGGAAUGCUUGGUGUAGAGGUGAAAUUCGUAGAUAUCAAGCGGAACACCAAUGACGAAGGCGACCUUCUAAACAGUGACUGACGCUAAGACGCGAAAGCGUAGGAAGCAAACAGG